rnacentral:rRNA from 1 species
UCUUGCACUGGGAUUCUAAAAAAGCAUCUGAUCUCAAAAGCUGAGCAGGAUUGGGCCUGGAUAGUACUUGGAUGGGAGACCACCUGCAAACACCAAGCAAGUUUAAGUC